GACGAACGCUGGCGGCGUGCCUAAUAUAUGCAAGUAGAACGCUGAAGCUUGGUGCUUGCACCGAGCGGAUGAGUUGCGAACGGGUGAGUAACGCGUAGGUAACCUGCCUGGUAGCGGGGGAUAACUAUUGGAAACGAUAGCUAAUACCGCAUAAGAGUAGAUGUUGCAUGACAUUUGCUUAAAAGGUGCAAUUGCAUCACUACCAGAUGGACCUGCGUUGUAUUAGCUAGUUGGUGAGGUAACGGCCCACCAAGGCAACGAUACAUAGCCGACCUGAGAGGGUGAUCGGCCACACUGGGACUGAGACACGGCCCAGACUCCUACGGGAGGCAGCAGUAGGGAAUCUUCGGCAAUGGACGGAAGUCUGACCGAGCAACGCCGCGUGAGUGAAGAAGGUUUUCGGAUCGUAAAGCUCUGUUGUAAGAGAAGAACGAGUGUGAGAGUGGAAAGUUCACACUGUGACGGUAUCUUACCAGAAAGGGACGGCUAACUACGUG
rnacentral:rRNA from 1 species